rnacentral:rRNA from 1 species
GACGGAGGAGGCAAGCGGUAGCCGGAAUUAUUGGGCGUAAAGCGUCCGCCGGUGGCGAUGCAAGUCUGCUGUCAAAGGUCGGGGCUUAACCCCGGGAAGGCAGUGGAAACUGAAUAGCUAGAGUGCGGUAGGGGCAGAGGGAAUUCCCGGUGUAGCGGUGAAAUGCGUAGAGAUCGGGAAGAACACCAGUGGCGAAAGCGGUCUGCUGGGCCUGCACUGACACUGAGGGACGAAAGCUAGGGGAGCGAAAGGG